AAACCGGUGUGCACAAUUACAUCAUUUCGUUACUUAAGUAGCGAAUCAUAUGUCAUUCGGACACAAACAAUUACUUUUCCACCAACUUUUUUGCAAACCCUUCAAAAAAAAAUCAUUUUCACCAAAAUUUUGUUUCCAACACAACUAAAGCAUCAAAGAACUCUACAUACAUCCUAGUGAGCUGAAUACAAAGGUAAUGUGUAUCUAAAACUUCUCUCGUAUGCAUUUCGUAUGAAUCAUGUCAAUCUGUCGUACUGGUCAGGUUCGCUACUUAUGUAGCGGAUUACUGUUACUGGAACUAAAUUUGUUUUAGUUAUAGUUGAUCCUAAACCAAGUAAAGAACCUAAGGUUGGUGUGAAGCUAUCUAAGGUUGAAGAUAAGGGC
rnacentral:lncRNA from 1 species